rnacentral:rRNA from 1 species
GAUGAACGCUGGCGGCGUGCCUAAUACAUGCAAGUCGAGCGAACAGAUGAGGAGCUUGCUCCUCUGAUGUUAGCGGCGGACGGGUGAGUAACACGUGGAUAACCUACCUAUAAGACUGGGAUAACUUCGGGAAACCGGAGCUAAUACCGGAUAAUAUAUUGAACCGCAUGGUUCAAUAGUGAAAGACGGUUUUGCUGUCACUUAUAGAUGGAUCCGCGCCGCAUUAGCUAGUUGGUAAGGUAACGGCUUACCAAGGCAACGAUGCGUAGCCGACCUGAGAGGGUGAUCGGCCACACUGGAACUGAGACACGGUCCAGACUCCUACGGGAGGCAGCAGUAGGGAAUCUUCCGCAAUGGGCGAAAGCCUGACGGAGCAACGCCGCGUGAGUGAUGAAGGUCUUCGGAUCGUAAAACUCUGUUAUUAGGGAAGAACAAAUGUGUAAGUAACUAUGCACGUCUUGACGGUACCUAAUCAGAAAGCCACGGCUAACUACGUG